UGGACUACGGAUCCAGGGGAGGG
rnacentral:piRNA from 1 species